CUGGGGGUAUAGCCAAGAUGGCAGAGUAAUCCUCAGCAGCUCUAUACCAACAUGAGAAUCUUUCCCAACCAAAAUUAAAAUAUUGCCACAAAAUUAAUAUAGGAGUGAAAGAACCAACAAGAAGGCAGAGUGAAACAACUUUCAAGAAAAAAAAAACAAAGAUCUCCAAGCACUUACAAGGGAAAGAUUGCAUUACUACGAAUGAAUGUGAAACAGAGUUGCCUAAAGCAUUUCAACAGGUAUGAAGAGGAACAGCCAAGUGAGCAAGUGCUGCAAUGGAGUUGGGAUGAUAAUUGCCAGACAAGAGCCAAAAAGUGGACAAGGUGAAGAAGACAGUUUGAUGCUAGGCAUUGUCAAGGUUAUAGCUUAGCUCCUCCUAGGAAUUGUCUCUGGAAACUGAGAGUGAAGAAUAAAGGAGCAAUAAGGAGCA
rnacentral:lncRNA from 1 species